ACACACACUCAACGCAUACACAAAUCACGCACACAUCUACACAUACCCACUACUUUUCACAAACCCACAUGAGCAGCUCCUUUUCCAGCCACUUCCGGCCGUUGCCCACCACCUCUCCGGCGACGCCUUGGCUGCCAGCAGCCCCUCUUCCUCUCCCUCCUCAUGGUUUCUUCAUCCUCAUCUUUUUCCUACCUCCAUUGAAGAUGAUUCAAGGUAGAAGCUUUUUCCCAAACUCAAGUUUCUUGCAAAUUAAGUGCUAGGAGUGGCACCUCCGAGGCUCGAGGACGGACAACCAAACCAAGCUUGAGGAGAUUAUUUUAGAUUACAACUUUCGAGGUGGGGUUUGCUUUUAUCUGUAAGCGUAGUGGUUACAUGGUCAGAUCCAUGAGGGAUCAUAUGGGUCGCUGACAGCCCACCAAUAGCCCACGAGGGGUCAGGUCCACGAGGGACCGAGACUAGUCUCCUAUAGAUGUCAGCAAAGUUGAGAUGGUUCAUUAUGUUAUGAUUCAUUACACAAUUGGUUAUAACUGCUUGCAGCGUAUUCCCCACUGAGUGUGCUUGCAUACUCACACCCCGUUAUUUAAUGUUUUUCAGGUUAAGGAGGCGGUGCCGGGGCAGCAGUCAACGUGGUCCACGGUCUCCCAGCUGCUAUUUUUUGACUAGUAGACCCUUUGAUAUUUUGGGUAAAAUUGAAUUUUUUUGGAGAGAAAACUCGGUAACUUUUAUGCUAUUAUAUUUUGAAUGAUGUAGGUUGUAAUCCGAUUAAGCAGGGUAUUUUAUUUUGGUGGAAUACUAGAUGAAGUAUAUAUAUUUUUAACAUAGUGAUA